rnacentral:pre_miRNA from 1 species
GUAGUACUCCCUCCGUCCGGAAAUACUUGUCAUCAAAAUGAAUAAAAUGGUAUGUAUCUAGAUGUAUAUUAGUUCUAGAUACAUCUCUUUUAUCCAUUUUGAUGACAAGUAUUUUCGGACGGAGGGAGUACUUG